rnacentral:tRNA from 1 species
UAUGGUAUGGCUUAGCGGUCUGAGCGUUUGGACGGUUUCCAAGAGGCGCGGGUUCAAAUCCCGCUACGUUUA